GGGGAAUCUUCCACAAUGGGCGAAAGCCUGAUGGAGCAACGCCGCGUGAGUGAAGAAGGUUUUCGGAUCGUAAAACUCUGUUGUAAGGGAAGAACAAGUACAGUAGUAACUGGCUGUACCUUGACGGUACCUUAUUAGAAAGCCACGGCUAACUACGUGCCAGCAGCCGCGGUAAUACGUAGGUGGCAAGCGUUGUCCGGAAUUAUUGGGCGUAAAGCGCGCGCAGGCGGUCCUUUAAGUCUGAUGUGAAAGCCCACGGCUCAACCGUGGAGGGUCAUUGGAAACUGGGGGACUUGAGUGCAGAAGAGGAAAGUGGAAUUCCAAGUGUAGCGGUGAAAUGCGUAGAGAUUUGGAGGAACACCAGUGGCGAAGGCGACUUUCUGGUCUGUAACUGACGCUGAGGCGCGAAAGCGUGGGGAGCAAAC
rnacentral:rRNA from 1 species